UCAAACUUGGUCAUUUAGAGGAAGUAAAAGUCGUAACAAGGUUUCCGUAGGUGAACCUGCGGAAGGAUCAUUAACAAAUUAUCCUUACAUUAUAUGGAUAAUAAUCCAUAUUCACCUCGUGUGCAUCUAUUGACUUGUGUGCUUUGGCAAGUUGAUUCCGAAAAUGGAGUGUGAGGGUGGUUUGGUUUUGAGAUAAUAAUAAUAAUAUUAUUAUUUUGGGUCCAAAUCCCCCUCGGCUUGCCAAAGUUUGUUUUUCUAUAAACACUUCAAAAUUGAUGUCUAAAAAACUUUGAUUUUAAUGUAAUCAAAUACAACUUUCAACAACGGAUCUCUUGGCUCUCGCAUCGAUGAAGAACGCAGC
rnacentral:misc_RNA from 1 species